UACGUAGGGUGCAAGCGUUGUCCGGAAUUAUUGGGCGUAAAGAGCUCGUAGGCGGUCUGUCGCGUCGGCUGUGAAAUCCCGGAGCUCAACUCCGGGUCUGCAGUCGAUACGGGCAACUGGAGUACUGCAGGGGAGACUGGAAUUCCUGGUGUAGCGGUGAAAUGCGCAGAUAUCAGGAGGAACACCGGUGGCGAAGGCGGGUCUCUGGGCAACAACUGACGCUGAGGAGCGAAAGCGUGGGGAGCGAACAGG
rnacentral:rRNA from 1 species